GAUGAACGCUGGCGGCGUGCCUAACACAUGCAAGUCGAGCGAACAGACGAGGCGCUUGCUCCUCUGACGUUAGCGGCGGACGGGUGAGUACCACGUGUAUAACCUACCUAUAAGACUGGGAUCACUUUGGGAAACCGGAUCUAAUACCGGAUAAUAUAUUGAACCGCAUGGUUCAAUAGUGAAAGACGGUUUUGCUGUCACUUAUAGAUGGAUCCGCGCCGGAUUAGCUAGUUGGUAAGGUAACGGCUUACCAAGGCGACGAUGCGUAGCCGACCUGAGAGGGUGAUCGGCCACACUGGAACUGAGACACGGUCCAGACUCCUACGGGAGGCAGCAGUAGGGAAUCUUACGCAAUGGGCGAAAGCCUGACGGAGCAACGCCGCGUGAGUGAUGAAGGUCUUCGGAUCGUAAAGCUCUGUUAUUAGGGAAGAACAAAUGUGUAAGUAAACAUGGCCGUCUUGACGGUACCUAAUCAGAAAGCCACGGCUAACUACGUG
rnacentral:rRNA from 1 species